UACAGAGGAUGCGAGCGUUAAUCGGAAUUACUGGGCGUAAAGCGUGCGUAGACGGUUAUUUAAGUCGGAUGUGAAAGCCCCGGGCUCAACCUGGGAAUUGCAUUCGAGACUGAAUAGCUAGGGUGCGGUAGAGGGAAGCGGAAUUUCCGGUGUAGCGGUGAAAUGCGUAGAUAUCGGAAGGAACAUCAGUGGCGAAAGCGGCUUCCUGGACCAGCACCGACGUUCAGGCACGAAAGCGUGGGGAGCAAACAGG
rnacentral:rRNA from 1 species